rnacentral:rRNA from 1 species
UAGGGAAUCUUCCGCAAUGGGCGAAAGCCUGACGGAGCAACGCCGCGUGAGUGAUGAAGGUCUUCGGAUCGUAAAACUCUGUUAUUAGGGAAGAACAAAUGUGUAAGUAACUAUGCACGUCUUGACGGUACCUAAUCAGAAAGCCACGGCUAACUACGUGCCAGCAGCCGCGGUAAUACGUAGGUGGCAAGCGUUAUCCGGAAUUAUUGGGCGUAAAGCGCGCGUAGGCGGUUUUUUAAGUCUGAUGUGAAAGCCCACGGCUCAACCGUGGAGGGUCCUUGGAAACUGGAAAACUUGAGUGCAGAAGAGGAAAGUGGAAUUCCAUGUGUAGCGGUGAAAUGCGCAGAGAUAUGGAGGAACACCAGUGGCGAAGGCGACUUUCUGGUCUGUAACUGACGCUGAUGUGCGAAAGCGUGGGGAUCAAACAGG